rnacentral:lncRNA from 1 species
UCUCUCUCUCACGUCUCACUUGGAAGAAAAGAAAAAGUCUCUCUCUCUUCUCUCACUUCUCUGUUACGAAAAAAAUUUCCUCUUCUUGAGUGAUUAGGGUUUAGAUUCUUGAAGGUUUUUUGUUGGAAAAAUUAUUAGAAAACUCAAGUAAUACAAUAGAUACAUACAUUCCUCCGUGGAGCACGAUUUAUUCUAUUUUAUGUGUCUUAUGCAAAAUGAUUUUAGAGGAGCAGUUCAGUUUUUUUUUUUUUUUUUUUUUUGGGAUCUUGGUGAUCUCGGUUGGUUCCUUUGUGGAACGUGACUUGCUGUAUAAUAAAAAUUUGAAUCUACGUGAUUCGAGAGUGGACAGUUUGGAGGGCAAAAAUCUGUGUUGGUUGAACUUUGUGAUCAAGAUUGAUUCAUGUGUGGAAUAGUGUUUGCUAUUGUUGUUCUAGCAUACAUAAGUCCUGUACUUGAUUCUUUGUUGUAAAUUGCUGGAACAUUAUUGUAACUUGCUCCCUAUUUUUGGGGCUUUAUAGUGUAAUCGAGCUUUAUCCAUUUUAAUAAAUGCUC